ACCACUUUUUGCCUGCUGGGCAUUUAGGGACUGCUAGUCCUAGUUAAGGUUUAUUCACACAGUAUUACGCUGUCUAAAGGGGUUGGCGUCUGGGGGUCCUAUAUCACAGGGUACCCUGAAGAAUUACAGAUAUUUAGGGAACGCUACCCUAACACUGGAGUCCCUUAUUACCCAUUUAGACGCUACCCAGGAUUGGCCUGCUAUGUCUGUGCCCCGUUGAUUGGCCUGCUAAAUUUCUGUGCCCCAUUGAUAUGUCUGUGCCCCAUUGAUUGGCCUGCUAUGUCUGCACCCCAUUGAUUGGCCAGCUAUGUCUGCGCCCCGUUGAUUGG